AAUGAACGCUGGCGGCGUGCCUAAUACAUGCAAGUCGAGCGAACAGAUAAUAAGCUUUCUCCUUUGCCGUUAGCGACGGACGGGUGAGUAACACGUGGAUAACCUACCUCUAAGUCUGGGGUAACUUCGUGAAACCGGAGCUGAUACCGGCUCAUAUUUCGAACCGCAUGGUUCGAUAGUUAAAGAUGGUUUUCCUGUCACUUUUAGCUGGUCUCGCGCCGGAUUAGCUAGUUGGUAAGGUAACGGCUUACCAAGGCGACGAUACGUAGCCGACCUGAGAGGGUGAUCGGCCACACUGGAACUGAGACACGGUCCAGACUCCUACGGGAGGCAGCAGUAGGGAAUAUUCCGCAAAGGGCGAAAGCCUGACGGAGCAACGCCGCGUGAGUGAUGAAGGUCUUCGGAUCGUAAAACUCUGUUAUUAGGGAAGAACAGACGUGUAAGUAACUGUGCACGUCUUGACGGUACCUAAUCAGAAAGCCACGGCUAACUACGUG
rnacentral:rRNA from 1 species